CACACACCGUAUUGUCGCCGUAUUCCGCGUGAAAGCCAUCGUAGUUUGUCUAAAAUAACCUAACUCGCCGCACAGACAACAACCAUUCAACUCCGUUUCAAGUCAGUUCGUCUACAAUCGACCGAAUAAGCCGUUGGUUUGAUAACAUUGAUUUUCCAGUUGUACAAAUUGUAUAAUGAAUUUCAAUUAUGUAUGCUUUUGGCUAUAUUUUAUUUUACUGACCAUAGCCUUAACAACUGUAAGUGCACAUUACGAAAGCCUCAGUGGGAGAUCACUGCCAAGAUGUCAGAAAGGUUACAAAUUAUGUAAGAAAAGUAUUAAUCAUCAUCAUUGUUUAUGUUGUCGACGAUCAUGUGAUCGUUGGCACCGUAAAAGAGCAUUUUUAAUGUGUACUGGGAAGCAUAAGGGGUGUUGGAGCGUAGAAGACCAAUGUGCAUGUUGUCUAAAGCACUGUCACGAACUUUAAAAAUUUACAAUGCAAACGAAAUUAAACGACGAAAAUAAAAUACACCAAUAAAAAUUAAUUCUAUGCAAAUAAUGAUAUCCCCGGCCGGUCUUUUUCGUCCAAAACCCAAGAAUAAUUUUGUGAUUAAAUGUUAAGAUCUAUCAUUGUAUUUUCCCGAAAUCCAUUAAACUACCAAAAAG